rnacentral:rRNA from 1 species
AUUGAACGCUGGCGGCAUGCUUUACACAUGCAAGUCGAACGGUAACAGGGUGCUUGCACCGCUGACGAGUGGCGAACGGGUGAGUAAUGCGUCGGAACGUGCCGAGUAGUGGGGGAUAACGCAGCGAAAGUUGUGCUAAUACCGCAUACGUACUGAGGUAGAAAGUGGGGGACCUUCGGGCCUCACGCUAUUCGAGCGGCCGACGUCUGAUUAGCUAGUAGGUGAGGUAAAGGCUCACCUAGGCGACGAUCAGUAGCGGGUCUGAGAGGAUGAUCCGCCACACUGGGACUGAGAAACGGCCCAGACUCCUACGGGAGGCAGCAGUGGGGAAUUUUGGACAAUGGGCGAAAGCCUGAUCCAGCCAUUCCGCGUGUCUGAAGAAGGCCUUCGGGUUGUAAAGGACUUUUGUCGGGGAGGAAAUCCCCAGCGUUAAUACCGCUGGGGGAUGACAGUACCUGAAGAAUAAGCACCGGCUAACUACGUGCCAGCAGCCGCCGUAA